rnacentral:sRNA from 1 species
GUUUAACUCGAAAUUAUGGCUGUAUUUUUUUUUCUGUGCAAUGGCUAAACUGCUUUUUACACCAAAGCCCAGAAAUUUAUGCGCAUUUUGAUCGGAUCUCGAAAACCGCAGCGUGGGCGUGGCAGAGCAUGUAAAAUGACAAAUAACUGCAGUAAUGUGGAUGACAUAAAUUUCACGGAAAUCUCAAUAAUCAUAAAAUUAAAAUACAAAUUCCGUGCAGCACGAUUUCCAGUAUUUAGACCGAGAACAUCAGGCCCAGCUAACCCAGCAGAAUCGCACAAUCGCAGCAUGUUGCACUCUCAGCUCUGGAGCCAACCGUUACUGCCAAGGCCCAAACAGAAACAGCCAGCCAGUCAGCUGGGGGGAGACCGCAAAUUUAUGAACUCACAACUCAGUUGCAGAUAUUUCGGGGAGCUUGGAGUGGGGAAUGGGAGUUGCACAGUCGAGAACUGAGAAUCAUUUGCUGGCAGUGCACUUUUUGCAGCUCCAGAAGAGCAAGUUGUAAUCUUCAGCAACAGCAUCGUCAUCAUCGUCUCGGCUGUUAAUUACGUGGCUCAAUUGCUCGAGAUUAAUGUGUUUCCGUUUUGUAAUUAAAUUGAGAGCUCAGGUCCCCAAGAAGGGGCUUCGAGUCGCGAGCUCUAAGCAGGUCAAGCACCAGUUGAGAAGCUCAAACUUGACCUUAAUUGCAAUUUGUGCACAAUUUUAUAUAUUAUAUUAAAAUGAUUUGUUUUUUUUUUGGCCUUUCACCUUCAAUAAGAGAGGAGGCUACGGAAAUGAAAAGGAAAUAAAGUUUUUCAACUACAUUAUAUGAACUUAUGAAUGGAAUAAAAGCCAAACCUUCACUUUAGCAACUAUUUUUAGAAGUGAGACCUUUUCCAUUCUUUGUAAUAGCUUAUAUGCAAAU